UGUGCUAUUAAGCACAGAGAAGCAGCUGAAGGAGCCGGGGGCCAGCUCGGUGCCGGCACCCCCAGCGCAGGGGGGUCCCUCCGGCCGCGCAGACCCUCGCGGCCCCCGGCUCCUGCUCCGCACCCCCGGGCGCGGAUUUUCCACAAGGUGGAGCCUGCGGGCAGCCGAUGCGCAGCCGGCAGCGCCGGAGGAGGUGGAUGCAGGGCCGGGGGGGUGGCUGUCAGCCUGUCCGGCUGUCCCGACGCGUGGUGGGCUGUCUGUCCAUCUGUCCGUCCGUCUCCCAGGUGGUGCCUGGACAGCAGCGCAGAGCAGGCUGGCUGGCUGUCCAUCUGGCUGUCUCCUGGGUGGUGCCAGGAGAGGGCUGGGAAGUGGCUGCUUUGCCUCAUCUCCCUUUGUGGUGUGAGCUCACUGGGACCUGCUGCAGGCCCUUGUGUGUGCACGCGUGUGUGCACGCGUGUGUGCGCAUCCGUCAGCCGCACAGAUGAGCCACCCCCAGCCGGCCCUGAUGGCUCAGCUGGGGAUGGCUCAAGGGAUGCUGCAAGCCAGUGCCAGACACAGCCCUUAACCACAGGCAACACCUCCCAGGAUCAGGAGGCACCAGAGCCUGCCCAGCAGCACUUCUUGCUCAGGUUCAGCACGGACCCAAGGGGCACUCAGCAGCAGUGCAUCCUGCGAGCUCAGCCUAGGUCGUUGCUUGUACCAGGCUGGCCACACGCUGCUGCCUCCAGCUCAGCACAGGGAAAGGAAGCAGCUAAACGUGGCACUGCCCUCGCUGCCUCCUGGCUAGCAGUCCCCAAAAUGUGGGUCAUGACUGGCCCUGCAGCGAUGCUGGCUGGGGAUGGGGAGGGAGUGUUUGUGGAGGGACGUCCCCGUUUCACAGACAUCAGAGGUGCGGCUGGUCAGGCGGAACCGAGAGGAACUGUCAGCCACAGCUUCUACCAGGGAAAUUGGAGAAAAUCUUUCAUCCAGGAAGAUAUUCCAGAAUUUCUACGAGUAAAAGUCUCCCAGAUGUGUUUGAGGAGAAAAUCCAUUUCACGUGCUCGGCACAAGCUGGGGCGCAGUGCCCAGUGUUUCACCGGGCAGCCCCGCGGGCUGUGCUGGCAGCGGGGGCUCCUGCACGGGGUAAAUUCAUCUUUACGUGCUGAUGGCUCGCUGCUUUGCUUGUUAAUCCCCAGAGGUAGGUGUGAAAGCUGCAUGGAUUAA
rnacentral:lncRNA from 1 species